GCAGUUGCCUGAGAGCAAGGCCGAGGCCUGUUUCAGGGCCCAAAGCCCGGGAUUGUCACUGCCCCCAGCAGCCCGAGUCCGAGACUCCCCACCACAGUCCUCUUUUCUGCUUUCUCUUCCAGCCGCUGCUGGCAGCCCCAAGCCGGGGUCAGGAUCCUGGAUGUUAGAAGCCACUGCUGCCCCUUCACUCUCCUGAAGCCGUCUCCUCCUCCUGCUUCCGCUCAGAGCCCCUGCGCCCUGGCCCCGCUCACCGCCAGACCCUGGAAUGUCAGGGCCUGGCCCGCGCAUGCCUGUUCAGCCCGUGGAACCCUGAUGGCCCCACCAAAGAUGAUGGGCCAGGCCGAUGUCCCGAUCACCCUAGGGGUUUUCCAUCUGCUGCUGCUGCUGCUGCUUGGGCACCAGCCAAGUGCGGCCUCAGAGGCGGAUGUGUGUCCUGGGGUGGGCCGUGCCCCAUGCUGGUGCAGGACAAGUUCUUCAAGUACUUCUUGGCGGCCACUGAGUUCUCUGCCAGUGCUUUGCGCUUCUCCUGGACCCUGUGCAACCCGAACCUGCACCACUACAAGCUCUGCAUGAAAGUGGCCAAAGUGCCCACCUGCAGCAGCCCCACCUGUGUUGGAAUCUACCAGUUGGAAUCCUUCCUGGAGUCCACACCCAGCUACCUGGACCUGGAGAUCUGUGACGGUGCUAAGGCUCUGCGACACCUCAGGGCCCGUGCCCCUACUGCAGGCCAGCAAUCAGUUCCUGCAGAUGAAGGGACAGCUGCCGCCGCAGAAAGAUGAUCCUGGACUCCAGGGCGGGGCCCUCCCACCCCAGCAACAGCUUCUCUGUGGAACACCUGAUCAUGGGCAACCACAACCCCUGUGACGUGACUGGUGGCCCUGAGAACUGUCUCACCAGCCUGACCCAGGAUGGGGCAGGGUUGCGCUCCAGGCGCCGCUGGCAGCCCAGG